rnacentral:tRNA from 1 species
GAUUUAAAAAGAUUAACUCUUAUCAUUGACACCACAAAUCAAUAUUUUUUUUUUAAACUAUUUAAAU